AUAGUUGGGAGCGACUCUAGAAGGCAGAGGGUGGCGAUGGGGCUCGUCGUUGUCGCCAGAGAACCGCCUCCCAAGUUUAGCAACUGUGGAGGCCCAGAGGAGGAUAAAUGUUUAAACCCCAUAAUUUGUAGAUGAAUCAUUGUCUGCAAGCAAACCAUUGCCAUCCUCGUCGAUCGUUCUCGCCCGUACCAGAUGGAGACAGUGACAACGAGGAGGGGGUCCCUCCUUUCACAGAGUUCUCGCUUCCUGAGCUUAAGGCCGCUAUGAAUGGGUUCAGUGCUAACAACAUCAUCUCUGAGAGUAGCGACAAGGCCCCAAAUCUUUGUUUGCAAGGGUAGGCUACAGAAUCAGCGAUGUAUUACCGUGAAGAAGUUCUCUAGGGUGGCCUGGCUAGAUCCUAAGCAAUUCGCUGAGGAGGCUUGGGGAGUUGGAAAAUUGAGGCACCAGAGGCUCAUAAAUUUGAUUGGAUACUGAUGUGAUGACGACGAGAGACUUUUUGUAGCAGAGUAUAUGCCCAACAACACUCUUGCCAAGCAUAUUUUCCACUAAUUCCUUUUUGUUGCAAUGGAAGGCGCGGGCUAUUUGGACAAGGAGGACUGAUAAUAUUUGACUUGAGCUCGACUGUUGCUACCUACAGAACACAGAAUCUGAUUGCAGUGGUAGUCAUCAGAGUCAUUGGUGGACUUUUGGGAAGCUUCUACAACUCCGUCAACAAAAUACUUCGCACCUACAACGUCAUCAAUGAGUAUGCUGUAUGCUCUUGCCAUUGGUUUGUUUUGGUGUUUGGAAUGUAUUUUGGCACUUCUUCCUCUGAUGUUUCCAGCAAUCCUAGAGAGACAAGCAAUAGUGAAUUGUGAAGGAAUGCUAGAAGGCUUUUCUAGGAUGCCUUCUCUAGACAAAGUUAUAAAACUCUUGACUCAACGCCAUUAUUUUCAUCCCCAGAAAAUAGUGACCUAGGAUAUCAAGAUAGGUGGCUACUUGACAUUGGUGAUCAUGCUUGAGAAACAGCUGUUGUACAGCCUCGAGGAGUUGUACAACGGGACUACCAAAAAGAUAAAAUCUCUAGAGAAAUUUUGGAUGUUAGCUGAUAUGACUAUGUGGGAAUGAAACUAGUGAAAAAGAAAUGAAGAAGGCCAGAUAAGGGACCACAUAUCUGAGGAGUAGAAAAGCUAUAAUUCUUUUUUAUACACUUGCUACAACACUUGUAUAUAUGACCUUGU